rnacentral:rRNA from 1 species
GAUGAACGCUGACAGAAUGCUUAACACAUGCAAGUCUUUGGCGAAGCUGUGCUCGCACAGCCUAGCCAAGGCGGACGGGUGAGUAACGCGUAAGGAACUUGCCCUGCAGUCAGGGAUAACAGACGGAAACGACUGAUAAGACCUGGUAAAGUCAGGCGGACUCAUGUCCAGCCUGAUGAAAAGAGAUGCUGCAGGAGAGCCUUGCGUCCUAUUAGCUUGUUGGUGGGGUAACGGCCCACCAAGGCGAUGAUAGGUAGCCGGCCUGAGAGGGUGGACGGCCACAAGGGGACUGAGAUACGGCCCUUACUCCUACGGGAGGCAGCAGUGGGGAAUAUUGGACAAUGGGGGCAACCCUGAUCCAGCAAUUCUGCGUGCACGAUGAAGGCUUUCGGAUUGUAAAGUGCUUUCAGCAGGGAAGAAAAAAAUGACGGUACCUGCAGAAGAAGCGACGGCUAAAUACGUG